CGUUAUUUGGAAUUAGGGCACGGGAAAUAGGAGAAGAAAACGCAGGAAGGGAGGAAGAAACCUGAACCCUUUUUCAUCCGUCGCCGUCGCACCAUCGCUGAGGAAGAAACCCAAGUCCAUCGCUGUCGCGCCAUCGCUGAGGAAGAAAUCCAAUUCGUGUUCUGCUUUGCUGUGUUGCUGCUGUCCAGUUUCGUGUUCUGCUUUGCUGAGCUGCUGUCCAGUUGUGUUUGCUUACUGCUGUCCGGUUUUUAAAUUUUGUUGUUGUGCU